rnacentral:rRNA from 1 species
GCCACAUUGGAACUGAGACACGGUCCAAACUUCUACGGAAGGCAGCAGUAAGGAAUCUUGCACAAUGGGGGAAACCCUGAUGCAGCAACGCCGCGUGAACGAUGAAGGCCUUAGGGUUGUAAAGUUCUGAACUGUGGGAAGAAGAAGUGACGGUACCACAGGAGAAAGCCCCGGCUAAAUACGUGCCAGCAGCCGCGGUAAUACGUAUGGGGCAAGCGUUAUCCGGAAUUAUUGGGCGUAAAGAGUGCGUAGGUGGUUACCUAAGCGCAAGGUUUAAUCUUGAGGCUCAACCUCAUUCUGCCUUGCGAACUGGGCUACUUGAGUGCAGGAGGGGAAAGCGGAAUUCCCAGUGUAGCGGUGAAAUGCGUAGAUAUUGGGAAGAACACCGGUGGCGAAGGCGGCUUUCUGGACUGUAACUGACACUGAGGCACGAAAGCGUGGGGAGCAAACAGGAUUAGAUACCCUGGUAGUCCACGCCGUAAACGAUGAGCACUAGUUGUUGGGUACGAAUGUAUUCAGUGACGCAGUUAACGCAAUAAGUGCUCCGCCUGGGGAGUACGGUGGCAACACUAAAACUCAAAGGAAUUGACGGGGACCCGCACAAGCAGCGGAGCAUGUGGUUUAAUUCGAAGCAACGCGAAAAACCUUACCAGGGCUUGACAUCCCUCUGACCGGCACUUAACCGUGCCUUUCUUCGGACAGAGGUGACAGGUGGUGCAUGGUUGUCGUCAGCUCGUGUCGUGAGAUGUUGGGUUAAGUCCCGCAACGAGCGCAACCCUUGUCGUCAGUUACUAACAUUCGGUUGAGGACUCUGACGAGACUGCCGAGGUCAACUCGGAGGAAGGUGGGGAUGACGUCAAAUCAUCAUGCCCCUUAUGUUCUGGGCUACACACGUGCUACAAUGGUCGGUACAAUGAGAGGCAAUACAGUGAUGUGGAGCAAAUCACCAAAACCGAUCCCAGUUCGGAUUGCAGGCUGCAACUCGCCUGCAUGAAGUCGGAGUUGCUAGUAAUCGCGAAUCAGCAUGUCGCGGUGAAUGCGUUCCCGGGUCUUGUACACACCGCCCGUCACACCAUGGAAGUUGGGGGCGCCCAAAGUUGGCUAAUAAAUCUGCUACCUAAGGCGAAACCAAUGACUGGGGUGAAGUCGUAACAAGGUAA